UUUUCUCAGUUUUCAGAUUCAGAUUUGAAGCUUGAUUUAUUCCACCUCCAUAUGCUGAUUUAGUUUAGAUAUCAUUAAAUAAAAAAUGAUGAAAGGGUUGCUAAAAGGUCUUAAAUACUUUACUCACAUAUUUGAAAGCGAAAAAGAGCCUGAAAUGCAGAUUGGUCUGCCGACAGAUGUAAAGCACGUGGCUCAUAUAGGAUGGGAUGGUCCUUCAACAGUACAGUCUAAACCUAGCUGGAUGAAUGAGUUUCAAACACCAACAGGAGGGUUUCAGACACCACCUUUAGCUCUUGGAGG